UGCAAGUCGAACGGGAUUCCCCAGCUUGCUGGGGAUGAGAGUGGCGCACGGGUGCGUAACGCGUGAGCAACCUGCCCGUCCCAGGGGGAUAGCCCGUUGAAAGACGGAUUAAGCCCGCAUGACGCUGAGAUGUGGCAUCACAGUUCAGCCAAAUAUUGAUAGGGGACGGAUGGGCUCGCGUGACAUUAGCUAGUUGGAGAGGUAACGGCUCACCAAGGCGACGAUGUCUAGGGGCUCUGAGAGGAGAAACCCCCACACUGGUACUGAGACACGGACCAGACUCCUACGGGAGGCAGCAGUAAGGAAUAUUGGUCAAUGGAGGGAACUCUGAACCAGCCAUGCCGCGUGCAGGAAGACGGCCCUACGGGUUGUAAACUGCUUUUGUACGGGAAUAAAGGCGGGUAUGUAUACCUGAUUGAAUGUACCGUAAGAAUAAGGAUCGGCUAACUCCGUGCCAGCAGCCGCGGUAAUACGGAGGAUCCGAGCGUUAUCCGGAAUUAUUGGGUUUAAAGGGUGCGUAGGCGGAUAGAUAAGUCAGUGGUGAAAGACGGUGGCUCAACCAUCGCAGUGCCGUUGAUACUGUUUAUCUUGAAUAUGGAUGAGGUAGGCGGAAUGUGGCAAGUAGCGGUGAAAUGCAUAGAUAUGCCACAGAACACCGAUUGCGAAGGCAGCUUACCAAGGCAAAAUUGACGCUGAGGCACGAAAGCGUGGGGAUCGAACAGGAUUAGAUACCCUGGUAGUCCACGCCCUAAACGAUGAACACUCGGUGCCGGCGAUAGA
rnacentral:rRNA from 1 species